rnacentral:lncRNA from 1 species
AGCAGUCUAUAGGUGAACCUUUUAUCUAAGUUUUUCUUGUUUUCACCUGGAGCAAUUGGUACUAGGAAAAACAUUGGAUUGUAGCAGUGACUUGAUGUAGGUUAUUCCAACAGUGGGUGACCUGAUCCCAUUGUCUAUUCGGCCGAGAAGCUGCCUGGAUCAACAGCUGUCCGAGCGCACAAAGACGACCACCCAGUCGAUCAAUAGUUAACCAAAAAAUUAAAUGGGGUAAAAAUUUGAACAAGUUCCACCAAAUGUGGUAAAAUAAGAGAAUUCACUAUAUAAAAAACAGGAAUAAUUCACUAAAGCCACAAACUGUAAGUUAAGAUCCGACGUCAGUUUUUGGGUUGAAAAUAAAUCCCAAACAAGCUAAACGACGGAGACUUUGACUCUAUCACCUACCCUAUUGGACAUGGCGUUAUAAUCUCUAGCAUAUCCUUCGUCCGCCCGUCGAAAGUGGUCAUCCUUGGACAAAUAAUCGUCCCAAAAAGAAAAGUGCAAAAAAAAAUGAAAACUCAAAUAAUUAGCAUAACACGAACUAUCAUUAGCACGUGCGUAAACAAGCAUACGUCAAGACUUCUUCCUCCCAAGCGUUCCGGAUAAAUUAAUCACAACAACAAUGUGACAGCGGACCAUAGCCCAUAUGUGCUUGCAAAUGAUUCAAGUUUGAUUUUUUUGUUUACUAGCCGAAAUGCCCGUGCAUUGCUGCAGGCCACCGCACUCCGCACGUAUUUUCGACAAUUCUUGACAGAAGAUUCGAUCAACGUCCACUGCAGCAUGCCCACACGUCUGCAUGCUUUUUUUCGCCCACGGAUUCGAGCACGGCGACCACAAUACUGACACUUACUCAGUAGUUGGAGUAGAUGGUUCAUUAGAAGGAAAAACUUCCACUUAUUACUUAGUUUUGCUUGGAUAUUCGUUGUGAUGUCUCGAGCCUUCCCGUCAACCACCGUGGCCCAUGGAGGCCGACGAGUAAUCUCCGAGAAAUCAAUGCAAGGGAAAGGAAGUCGUACACGAACACGAGGAACAAGAA